UACGGGGGGGGCAAGCGUUGUUCGGAAUUACUGGGCGUAAAGGGCGCGUAGGUGGCCUGUGGAAGUCUGCGGUGAAAGCCCGGCGCUCAACGCCGGGUCGGCCGUGGAUACUCUCGGGCUCGAGCUUACUAGAGGCAGAUGGAAUUCCGCGUGUAGUGGUGAAAUGCGUAGAGAUGCGGAGGAACACCAGUGGCGAAAGCGACUUUCUGGUCCUUAACUGACGCUGAGGCGCGAAAGCAUGGGGAGCGAACGGG
rnacentral:rRNA from 1 species